UGUUAACUGCGAUUCACUUCGCGCCGGAGCGAUAAAAUCGAACGAGAUCGAGAUGUUCGAUAUAUGAUGGCGUUCGAUAUAUAACGAAAUUCAUUCGAGAUCUACUUCAAACAGUACUACGUAGCGUAAACGGUGUUGAACGUGAUCGCGCUGUCUUAUACUUAUAUCUAAUACGACAAAUAACAGUUUGAAUGCAAAUCUUAAGAUUGGAAUGCUACGUUAUCUGAUUUUCAAUCGGAAAGAUAUCCAAACGUAACGUCUUACCACGGGUGACGAUGGCCUCGUCAGCGCUCCUGAACGAGUCUCGAGGAGGACGAUAGCAACGGGAGAAUCGGCGGUGCGACGAGGAAGAUCCCGAUCGUGUAAACUCGCGACGGAAUCGCCGUUGGUAGACGUACUGGGUGGUGGGCAGGGGUCGGCAGGGGCGAGCCGCGUAUGAAAGAGCGAGACGGGACGCGCCGUUUCUCUUUUCCCGAAGGUUCGAGCGCGACAAGGACGCAUCGACGAAACGAUACGAGCGCCACCGAACUCGUUCGAGACGCGCCGGACAGCGAUCGUAGGAGGAAGACGGAGCUUGCGGAGGCUGCGGAGAAGAGAGGAAAGCUCUGCCGUGUCGGAAGGGUAGCGCAACGCAGACGGAAACGGCGGAGACGGCGGAGGGAGCACAAAAGAGAAAGGGAGAAAGAGAAUGCCUCCCGCUGCCAAGCUGACCACCGACCCUCUACGAAGAUCUCCUAUUUGUCGAUAUGCUGUAGCAGUUCAUAGAAGAGCAUCGAGCAGAAGUAAUCCGAGAUUCUUAGGAUAACUACGAUAUGAUACAGACAAAAAGACGCACAAGGAAGCACCGCGUAUUUGAUGAAGAUGACCGAACAAAAACGUGAACUCGCAAUCGUUAGAACGACGGAUGAAUCUCGUGCAUGUCUGGCGGACGUACCGUGGUAAAGGGACAUUGUAAAUUCAGGGACGGUACUGCAAACCUUCCUGGUACGCACGUACGCAUUCAUGCACGUAUGCACGCGUGCACGUCCGUUCUUUCGCGGACAGAUGAAAAAGACGGGAAAUGAGAUGUGCUUCGAGCUUGUAGCCCUCUUGCAGAGAUGACCAGUAAUUUGUUAAAGGAUUGACGUCUCGGAAAUUGGAUAUUAAACGAAUUCUUUUUUCCUCUUG